rnacentral:rRNA from 1 species
GGGCGUAAGGAUGCGUAGGCUGGAAAUCAAGUCGAGAGUGAAAUCCAACGGCUCAACCGUUGAACUGCUCUCGAAACUGGUUACCUAGAAUAUGGGAGAGGUAGAUGGAAUUGGUGGUGUAGGGGUAAAAUCCGUAGAUAUCACCAGGAAUACCGAUUGCGAAGGCGAUCUACUGGAACAUUAUUGACGCUGAGGCAUGAAAGCGUGGGGAGCAAACAGGAUUAGAUACCCUGGUAGUCCACGCCCUAAACGAUGCACACUAGUUGUUGCGAUGCUAGUCAUUGCAGUAAUGCACUUAACAGAUUAAGUGUGCCGCCUGGGGAGUACGGUCGCAAGAUUAAAACUCAAAGGAAUAGACGGGGACCCGCACAAGCGGUGGAGCAUGUGGUUUAAUUCGAAGAUACACGAAGAACCUUACCUGGGCUUGAUAUCCUAAGAAUCCUGUAGAGAUAUGGGAGUGCUAGUUUACUAGAACUUAGAGACAGGUGCUGCACGGCUGUCGUCAGCUCGUGUCGUGAGAUGUUGGGUUAAGUCCCGCAACGAGCGCAACCCUCGUGAUUAGUUGCUAACAGUUCGGCUGAGCACUCUAAUCAGACUGCCUUCGCAAGGAGGAGGAAGGUGAGGACGACGUCAAGUCAUCAUGGCCCUUAUGCCCAGGGCUACACACGUGCUACAAUGGCUAGGACAAAGAGAAGCGAUACUGCGAAGUGGAGCAAAUCUUAAAACCUAGUCUCAGUUCGGAUUGGAGUCUGCAACUCGACUCCAUGAAGCUGGAAUCGCUAGUAAUCGUAGAUCAGAUAUGCUACGGUGAAUACGUUCCCGGGUCUUGUACUCACCGCCCGUCACACC